GCCAGGCAUGGUGGCACACGCCUGUAGUCCUAGCUACUCAGGAGGCUGAGGCAGGAGGAUCACUUGAGCCCAGGAGUUCGAGACUGCCGUGAGCUAUGAUUGAGCCACUGCACUCCAGCCUGGGCAACAAAGCAAGAUCCCGUCUCAA
rnacentral:sRNA from 1 species